rnacentral:rRNA from 1 species
ACGCGCUGAACUUAAGCAUAUCACUAAGCGCAGGGAACCGAAAAUAACUAUGAGUGCCUCAGUAACGGCGAGUGAAGCGGCACGGGCCCAAGAUGAAAAGUCCCGUCCUUCGGGCGUGGACAUUGUAAUCUUUCGGGUGCCACUGACCAGCUCUCUGAAGCCCAAAUUCCCAGGAACGGGAUGCCAUGGAGGGUGAAAGCCCCGUACGGCUUCGGAGGAAAGCAGGUGGCCCUUUUCGAGUCGAGUUGUUUGGUACUGCAGCUCUAAGCGGGAGGUAGAACUCUUCCAGGCUACUUAACAGCGAUGAGAGACCGAUAGCGAACAAGUACUGUGAAGGAAAGAUGAAAAUAUUUAAGAACUUCAAAAACAAAGAAUUAAACAGACCUGAAACCGUGGAGUGGAAGCGAUAGGAACUUAUCAUUUGGCUCCGAGCUGUCUAAGCGGCGACGGCAUGUCCGGUGGAGGCAACCGCGAGGGGCCUUGCCGUGCUUGCGUAGCUGCGCGUCUGCUCCCUGCCAACAGGCAAGAUGGGUUUCCGUUCGCAUCAUGGCGCCAGGGGGGUCCCUCACGGGGCUCCUCGGGACUGCUGUUGCGACGGAGGCUGAGGGUGCUUUGCGAUCUUGCCAAAUUUUAAAUUCUUUUUCCUACCGACCCGUCUUGAAACACGGACCAAGGAGUCUAACAUAUACGCGAUUAUGUUGGUGGAGAAACCAGCGUGAGUAAUGAAAGUGAGCGGUGCCAAUACCCAUGCAGCAUCGGCGGAUUCUGAUCCUUUGGUGACGAGAUCCAGUAUGAGCGUAUCUGUUAGGACCCGAAAGAUGGUGAACUAUGCUUGAGUAGGGUGAAGCCAGGGGAAACCCUUGUGGAAGCCCGAAGCGAUACUGACGUGCAAAUCGUUCGUCAAACUUGAGUAUAGGUGGCGAAAGACUAAUCGAACCAUCUAGUAGCUGGUUCCCUCCGAAGUUUCUCUCAGGAUAGCAAGGACAGCGUAGCAGGCUUUCGUAUGAGGUAAAGCAAUGAUUAGAAGACUCGGGGAUUGAUGGCGCUCCAGCGUGUGACGGAUACUCGACCAUUGCAGCGACAGUGUGGCUGGAAUGAGUAGGAGGGCGUGGGCGUCUUGCCGAAGCCUUGGGCGUGAGCCUGGGUCGAAAGGCGUCUAGCGCAGAUCUUGGUGGUAGUAGCAAUUAUUCAAAUGAGAACUUUGAAGGCCGACGUGGAGAAGGUUUCCAUGAGAACAGCAAUUGGUCAUGGGUGACUCGGUCCUAAGAUAUUGGAUAAUACCCUGAAAUUGAGCUUCGGCUCGCUAUCGAAAGGGAAUGAGGUUAAUAUUCCUCAAGCUGGAAAUGGAUGUCACGGCAACGUUUGUGAGCUCGGCGACGCCAGCGCGUGCCUCUGAAAGAGUUAUCUUUUCUUUCUCAAACAGGGAAGCGACCCUGAAAUCGGAUUACCCGGAGCUGAGGGUUGCAAACCUGGAAUAGUGUCUUCAUUAUCU